CUACUGCCGGCGACCGGCGCACGGGUGAGUAACACGUAUGGAACCUGCCCGCAGCAGGGGGACAACCCGCCGAAAGGCGGGCUAAACCCGCGUACAUGCCACCGGGGCAUCCCGGAGGCAGGAAAGGCUUCGGCCGGACAGGGAUGGGCAUGCGGCGCAUUAGGCAGUAGGCGGGGUAACGGCCCACCUAACCGACGAUGCGUAGGGGUUCUGAGAGGAAGGUCCCCCACACUGGUACUGAGACACGGACCAGACUCCUACGGAAGGCAGCAG
rnacentral:rRNA from 1 species